rnacentral:lncRNA from 1 species
UUCCAUAUUAUGAGAAUGAUUUCAUUGAUGAAACCUGUAGAGCCCAAUUUUUGCCCGGGCCCAGGCCAACAAUAACCAACCAAAAAUAAUAAAGUUCAAGUCCAUAUUACAAACUCAAAACCCCUAGCCCAAAUAAUACCCAAGCCUAAUCAGCCAACUCUAACCCGAACGGCCCACAUCCCUAGCCCGUUUACAGAAACCCGGCCCAGUUACAUUGAAGCCCAAAACAAAAAACACAAGCAGAAACCCUAGGGUUUCUAGGAUCCCAGCGCCGCAAACCCCCAUGCGUGGCAUCCCCACGUGCUCCUCUGAGCCUUUGCCACUCGCGUCGAGCCGUGCCACGUCAACGUACGGCCUCACGCCAGUGACACCUACAACAAAGACGUCGUACCUGCACAAAGCAACAACGAAAACAAAGGCAGACAACAGCAAGGAAAAAUACAAAAGAAUAGGAGAUUUUUCUGUACUUUUUCUUUUCUUUUUUCUUCAUUUUCGGCUAUAUAGGCCACUUUUUUAGCGUUGGGGGAAGUGACAGACACAUAUUGUAUAAAAAAACAUACAGUGUAAACAAAAAAAUUUCAAAGAGAAAUAAAAAAAAAGUUUCGAAAGGUGAUCUUUUUAGUGAUAUACUCUCUUCAUUUUAGUUUUUUUUUCCUUUUUUUUCUAUUAUUGUAAAAAAGGGACGAGACAGAAAAGAGGGGAAGAAAUACUUACCUCAGAGGUGGGAACACCGCAUCUCGGCUCACCCCGUCGCAAUCGGAGUCUGGGUUGGAGGUGGGGUGCUGAAGCGGCGCGCCGUUUGGGGUAGAGGUUUAGUUUCUUAGGUUUUUUUUUCUUUUUU